UUGCUAUCUGCGAUAUAAAAGAUUCGAACCUGCAGCAGGUUCGAGUCGAACGCAGUGAGGCAACGGAGCCGCCUGCGGCGGCGACCCGGAGGGCGAGGCGAAGCGAGUCAUCCUACACGACCCACCA
rnacentral:sRNA from 1 species